rnacentral:tRNA from 1 species
GCCGCUGUGGUGGAAUUGGCAGACACGCACGACUCAAAAUCGUGUGCUGAAAGGCAUGUCGGUUCGACUCCGACCAGCGGCACAA